UACAGAGGGUGCAAGCGUUGUUCGGAAUUAUUGGGCGUAAAGCGCGUGUAGGCGGCUUUGCAAGUCGGGUGUGAAAGCCCUCAGCUCAACUGAGGAAGUGCGCCCGAAACUGCAGAGCUUGAGUGCCGGAGAGGAAGAUGGAAUUCCCGGUGUAGCGGUGAAAUGUGUAGAGAUCGGGAGGAACACCGGUGGCGAAGGCGGUCUUCUGGACGGUGACUGACGCUGAGGCGCGAAAGCGUGGGGAGCAAACGGG
rnacentral:rRNA from 1 species